rnacentral:rRNA from 1 species
GCUUGUCUCAAAGAUUAAGCCAUGCAUGUCUAAGUACAUACUGAUUAAUAGUGAAGCUGUGAAUGGCUCAUUACAACAGCCGUAGUUUAUUUGAUUCAUAGAGUUACAUGGAUACCUGUGGUAACCUAAGAGCUAAUACGCGCAAUUAUGCCCUGACUUCACAGGAAGGGCGCGGUUAUUAGACCAAAACCAAUCGGGCUUGUCCCGGUUUUUUGGUGACUCUGAAUAACUCUGUAGAUCGCACGGUCCUCGAACCGGCGACUGCUCAUUCAAAUGUCUGCCUUAUCAACUGUCGAUGGUAGUUUAUGCGCCUACCAUGGUUGUAACGGGUAACGGAGAAUAAGGGUUCGACUCCGGAGAGGGAGCCUGAGAAACGGCUACCACAUCCAAGGAAGGCAGCAGGC